CGGACGGGUGAGUAACACAUGGGUAACCUACCCUGUACACACGGAUAACAUACCGAAAGGUAUGCUAAUACGGGAUAAUAUAUUUGAGAGGCAUCUCUUGAAUAUCAAAGGUGAGCCAGUACAGGAUGGACCCGCGUCUGAUUAGCUAGUUGGUAAGGUAACGGCUUACCAAGGCGACGAUCAGUAGCCGACCUGAGAGGGUGAUCGGCCACAUUGGAACUGAGACACGGUCCAA
rnacentral:rRNA from 1 species